rnacentral:lncRNA from 1 species
AGACUGGAAAACUGGAGAAAAAAUAGGAAGUGCACAACAGAGAUAAUCUAGGAAGUGUCAUCACUCCAGGCCACGGUGGCAUUCGUGAAUGGGAAACAAUGUUUGGAAAGUGUGCCGUUUUGACAUCAGUGUGGCUCUGGCAACGUUGGAUGGAUGAGAUGAGUAGGAAUCAGUGUGAAGUCCGCAUUACAACAUGCUUGGAUUCAGUUAUGCCAAUGGUAAUGGAAAGAAAGAGGAAAGAUUUCAGAGAAGUAUGCAAAGAAAAAAAAGAAACAAA